rnacentral:tRNA from 1 species
GCGCCCGUAGCUCAGCUGGAUAGAGUACCUGGCUACGAACCAGGUGGUCGGAGGUUCGAAUCCUCCCGGGUGCACCA